CCCUAAGGUACCUUCUGGUUCUAAAAUCGAUGAUUCUAUGCAAUAAAAUUUUUUUAAAAAUCAGAAAAUUAUCAAGGUGGCAAAAUGAAUGUUAGAGUGAAUUAAAAUGAGAUCUAGAUUUACUCUAAUUCAAGGAGUUUCCUGAAACUUUUCUAAUGCCUUAUGCCCAGCGUCACGUUCUAAGUAAGGUAAGGUGUAUCAUCCUUGGCACUGUAGACGUUGGGGUGGGAUAAUUCUUUGGGGAGGGUGGGUGGCUGUCCUGUGGGUUGUUGGAUGUUUAAUGGCAUCCAUUGUCUUUACCCACUAGUUGCCAGUAGCAUGCCCCUACUGGCUGUGACAACCAAAAUGUCUCCAAACACUGCCAUGUAUGGAAGGGCAAAUCACCACUGCACCACAUGAAAGCAGCAUUUUCCUGCUGCACGAGAGCAAAUGUUCACCAUGGGACGAAAUGCUCGGCUUGGUCCAAAAGACACAAGAAAACUUCCCUGGAAGCCAGGCUGACAGAGUCAGAAGCCAACUACAAGACUCAGCUUUCACAGAUCCAGGUUCAGAUCAGCGCCCUGGUGACCCAGCUCCUUCAUGUCUGCAGCGAGACAGAGAGCCAGAGUGCAAGCUGCCAGCAGCUCCUGAACGUCAAGACGCGCCUAGAGAAUGAAAUUGAGGCCUACCAUCGCCUGCUCAAGGGGCAGGGCUGGUACAUGAGAAGCUGCGAGUUGGGUGAAGUAGGGGAGCAAGUGGGGCUGGGGGUAAUUCUAGGUACCAGGUUGCUUCUAUUUACAUUCCUAACUAAAUGCAAGGAUGUUAAACUACAAGGGUUGGACAAACUUCCACGAGGCCCAUCCUAACAGUACAAUUUCCAACAUCACUCUUACCAGCUCCAUGAAGACAAUGACCUUGAUUUAUGAACCCAGCUUCCUGGUCCCACAAAUUACCACCCCACACAAGGCACUCCACAAAUAUUUGCCUAACUGAACUGAACUGAAAUUCAGGGCAACACUGUGGCUCUAUCUUCCAUCCUCAGAACACAAGCCCAUUAUAGCCAACAUAUCCUAUGUUUAAUAGUCAUUUGGGGUGUGUAAUUCAAAAACAGAAUGAAUAAAAAACAUAAAAAGCUAAAAUUCAAUGACUCCAACUUGGAGCCUUUCAAAACGGUUCUGGAUAUUACAAUUUUUAUGAAUACCUAAAACAAUCAAAACAAAAGUUUUCUUUUCAGUCAUGAGUUUGAAACUGGAUCAAAAAGAGGAAACAAAAUUAAGGGUAAGUUCUGUAAGAGAGGUUUUCUAUUAUUCUAUUUCAUUUUCUUUGGAGGAACAGCGUAUUCAAGGUCCAAAAGACUUGUGUUUGUAUAUGAAUUUGCAUUUAAUUGCAUUAAGCAAUUAAAGUCAUAUCCAACCAGGGCUCUAAUUGUAGACCAGUUUCACUGAGACAUCUGUCAAAAUAGUACUGUAAUUUUUUAUUUGAAAUGUGCACCUAUAUAAAUAAUAAAUGUCCUAGAAGCUUUUACAACAUCGCAUUUAAAUGGUUUCCCUCCAACAUUUUUCAACUCAAAUGUCGGAAGACAUUUUUAUGUCUAUUUACUUUGAAAGGUCAAAGGAAGUAUAAAGGAAAGAAGAGAGACUAAAUGAAUAAAGUGAAAUGCUUACUGGAAGAGAAAAAGGUGGUGAAACCAGGUUUAAACUUGUAGAUUAGUUUAAGACUGUUUUUCAAACUGUGGCUAUAACCUAUCAGUAGAUCUUUAAAAAUAUUGGGUCACAAUCUGCAUUUUUAAAUGGAAUGGAAUAGAACACAUCAAAGCACAUGUUAUCUACAAAUGGUAAAUAUCAUUUUACAAAAGUUUUGUUUUAGUUAUAAAUGUGUCUGUGUUUGUUGUGUACUGAGGUCAUGGUAUAAAAUAUAUUUCUUCUUGUGGGUUGCAGUAAAAAAAGUUGGAAAGCUA
rnacentral:lncRNA from 1 species